AGAGGCAGCCCAUCAUCCCCCAGCCCUGGCUGCCUGAUUGGCCGAGAGGCGGGGAUGCUGCCUCCGCUAGCCAAUCAGGCUGCACUAAUAAUAGGUGGACCUGCUCAGCCGGCAUCGCCCAUCCCAGGGAUCUGAGAGUCUCUGUCCCCCCCAGCGGGCCAGGGGGCUGGGAGGGAGUUCCCUGCGAAUGACAAUCAAGGACAUCAAAUCAGUCCUCUGGACCGGCAAAGUGAUGACCCCCAAGCAGUGCUGCAAGCUGGAAACAGAGACGGCUGGGUGACCUGAUUCGCCCCACCCCCUGGGACUUCAGGCAAUUUAUAGUAUGGCAUUUACCGACCACAAAGAGAGGCGCAGUAAGAGAGAAGCAGGAGAUGGGGGAUGGGGCAGAGAGCUGUGAGGAGUUCGUGUGCAGUAACAUCUAAUCAAUGGCUGCAAAUAAAAUUCGCCAUAAUUGAGUUCUUUGGUUUUUACAGAGCAGGUUUUAUUGGCGUUUUCAGGUCCAAAGACCUCAGCAGCUGCUUUCUAUAUGUCAUUUACUUGCAGCUGGAAAUGUGGCCUUGAGGGUCUCUCCAUCCACACCAGCAGAGCAGCUUGGCCAGAUAAGGAGGAAAAAGAAGAGGACAAGGGAAGACAUGUUCCAAGAGCUCCUGCAAGUUUCUUGUGCUCCAGAUUCUGAGCACAGGGCUUGGAGGAUCAUGCUCAAAGACAGACUGCAAAGGGAUAGUGAGGACAGGAGAAACGGGCAGCAAGAGAUGAUAGCACUCCGCAUGGAGCAAAGAGACAUGAUUGCAGUCUCUGACUGAACUUCAGGCUGGACAGAACUAUGCUUGCCUCCCCCUGUGGCCCAUAAAGAGCUGCAUUCUGGGACCUCCUUACACUUCCUCCCCCCCCACUCCAUUCCACAUAUCUUCCAGGGCAGCAGCACUUCUCUUACCACUCCAGCCCUUAGGAGAGUACACACAAUCACUACCGCACAUACACUGACCUGUGAGAGAGAGAGUUGGUAUAUGUGUUUGUGAAAUGGAAAUGACUGUUCUUUCCCUUUCAAAGGUACG